rnacentral:rRNA from 1 species
GAUGAACGCUAGCGGGAGGCUUAACACAUGCAAGUCGAGGGGCAGCACGAGGUAGCAAUACUUUGGUGGCGACCGGCGCACGGGUGAGUAACGCGUAUGCAACCUACCCUGUACAGGGGGAUAACCCGGAGAAAUUCGGACUAAUACCCCAUAAAGAUAUUUAGAGGCAUCUUUGAAUAUUUAAAGUUCCGGCGGUACGGGAUGGGCAUGCGUAACAUUAGCUAGUUGGUAAGGUAACGGCUUACCAAGGCAACGAUGUUUAGGGGUCCUGAGAGGGUGAUCCCCCACACUGGUACUGAGACACGGACCAGACUCCUACGGGAGGCAGCAGUGAGGAAUAUUGGUCAAUGGGCGCAAGCCUGAACCAGCCAUCCCGCGUGAGGGAAGAAUGCGCUAUGCGUUGUAAACUUCUUUUCCAGGGGAAUAAAAUUUUGUACGUGUACGGAAUUGAAGGUACCCUGGGUAUAAGCAUCGGCUAACUCCGUGCCAGCCGCCGCUGUAACAC